GCAGUCCCUCGCCGGGCAGUCUCGGUUCCCCACUGUCGCCUCUCAACGCCUUAUCCCACCCCGGUCCCUCAGCGCCUUAUCCGCCUCAGCGCCUUGAAUCACAGCAUUGUUAGAGCCGGAAGGGACCCCUGGAGAUCAUCCAGUCCAACUCCCCUGCCAAGGCACAGUCACCCAGAGCAGAUGACACAGGAACAUGUCCAGGAUCUCUUCCCAGGACAGCUGGGCAUGGAGCAGCACAGGAAGCAAACCCAUCACUUCAAGCAUGUCUCUAAGAAAGUACUAAGGGAUGGAAAAUGAGCAAAGGAAUGUGUAAGAUGCUGGAUGGUGAAUUCUGACCACUCUGGAGAGCAAAUCAUGACUGUGUUGCACAUGGAACAAGUUUAUUCUCAGUCAUCAGAACUGCAGAGCAGGAGAGAAGCAAGUGACUGAAUUCCAAGAAAGCCAUGGAGUGGAAGUGAAGGU